rnacentral:sRNA from 1 species
UCACUCUGCAGAAAUUCCCUUUUAAAAACAUCCUGUGUAUUAGUUUCCUGGGCUAACAGAGUACUACAACCUGUGUGGCUAUAACAACCAAAAUAUAAUCUCCCAGUUCUGGAGGCCAGAACGUCCAAGGGGAAGGCGUUGGCAGAGCUAUGCUCUCUGAAGGCCCCAGGGGAGAGCCUGUUCCUGCCUUCUGCGUGGCUUCGGGUACUGCCAUAGCCCUUGGCCCUCCCGGGCUCGGAGACCAUCGCUGCACUGUCUGCCACUGUCUUCCCAUGGCAUGUGUCUGUGUGUCCUCUUCCCUUGUUAUAAGGAUGCUGGUCAUUGGAUUUAGGGCUCACCCUAAUUCGUUGUGACUUCAGUGUAAGUCGAUUAUCUCUGCAACCCACCCCAUUUCCAAACAAGGCCACAGUCGCAGGUACGGAGCCAGGGCUUCAGCAUGUCUUCUCUUCUCGGGGACACAGUGCAGCCAGGACGCCCGUCUUGCUCUGGUCAUUUUGGAAUUUAUCCUAGGGCAUGGGUCUCCUCCCUGUGCCACAGGGCACCUGUGCUCCCUCCUGCACCCUCUGCUCUGCCCACCUGGCCACCACCCACUUGGCAUCCCUCUCCCCAGGCUCCAGCAGCUCCUGCGGUCUCCCAUUCUGCAGGUGCGGCCGGGAACUUCCUGUGCCCCGCUGGCGCCUUGUCCUUCAACGCCUUCAAGACCGUGAUGGACAUCGACACCAGCGGCACCUUCAACGUGUCUCGUGUGCUCUAUGAGAAGUUCUUCGACCAUGGAGGGGUGAUCGUGAACAUCACUGCCACCCUGGGGAACCGGGGGCAGGCGCUCCAGGUGCAUGCAGGCUCCGCCAAGGCCGCUGUGGACGCGAUGACGCGGCACUUGGCUGUGGAGUGGGGUCCCCAAAACAUCCGCGUCAACAGCCUCGCCCCCGGCCCCAUCAGUGGCACGGAGGGGCUCCGGCGACUGGGUAAGGCUCUCAGGGAGCCCAGGCCUCCCACAGAUCCUCUCCUGGGGCACAGGGUGCCCAUGAAGCUUCCAGAACCUUGGCAGGGUGUAUGUUGAAAAGCCCUGUGCUGGUUCCAUGGUGGCAACUAUGUUCUGUGCCUGGCCUGAUCCUGCUCCAUGCUAGGCCUUGGUGACACUGACUGUGUCCUUGCUGUUCCCAGAUGCCUCUCAGGGAAUGAGCUGGGGGAGAGGGGAGGGUGCUGGGUCUUGGGGCUCACGGGGCCUGAGCCUUCUGCUGCCCUCCAGGUGGCCCUCAGGCCAGCCUGAGCACCAAGGUCACUGCCAGCCCGCUGCAGAGGCUGGGGAACAAGACCGAGAUCGCCCACAGCGUGCUCUACCUGGCCAGCCCUCUGGCUUCCUACGUGACGGGGGCCGUGCUGGUGGCCGAUGGCGGGGCAUGGCUGACGUUCCCAAACGGUGUCAAAGGGCUGUCGGAUGUCGCAUCCUUCUCUGCUAAGCUCUAGGAAUCUUCCGGCCGCUGCUUCCCGCCGCCUCACUCAGCCAGGUGGAGAGCACCAAUCUGAACCAGCAAUGCCUGCAGCCCAGCCCCUCCUCUGAACACUCAGCUAUUACUGCGCUUUCCCUCCCCACGGCCCCAACUCCAGGGCAGGAGCAACUGGACAGUGGGCCUGGCCCGUGGAGCUGCCACGCAGGUGCCUGAGGGCCAGGUGCCACGCAGGUGUCUGAGGACCAGGUGCCACGCAGGUGGUGGGGGUACAGACAAGAUGCUGGGAUGUCCCCUGCCCCAUGGUCAAGGGUGUCCUGCCUGCCUGGGUCCAGGGCCUGAGGGAGCCACAUGGAUCCCGAGACUUGUGUUCUCUUGGCUGAAAACACUGAGGUGCUCCCAUCUGUGCGUGGCCCAUGAGCUGGGAUGGUCCUCCAGCUGCCCACAAGGUCCGCCCCUCUGUCUCUGCACCACCUGUUUGCAUAAACACACUUUGCUACAAUCUUGCUAGUGCGUUUUCUUAAAAGAUAAUCUAUUUACUGUAAAAAUAAAUUGGACUUUGCAAAAGCUUUUAGAAGGAAAAGAAAGAGGAUUAAAGAGAAUUGCUGGUG